ensembl:lncRNA
CCACCCACCACAUCCCAUCGACCCCACACUGUGCCCCAUUGACCCCACCCUUAACCCCAUAUCCCCCCCUGCCCCCAUAACCCCAACUGUCCCCCCCUUCCUCCCCCAUCCGGCCCCACAGACCCCAUUGCUGCCCCCCCUUUGGUUCUCACUCACCUGAGCACCCCCUAUAGGUGGGGGUCCGACCCCAUAAGCGCCCCCCGGGAUCCCAUAGGACACAGUGGGGGCCGGGGGGGGGCCGGGCCAGGAGAGAGCGGCAGAUGGGGACGGGAUGGGGGCGCCUGUGGGGAGAGGGGGUGGGGGAUAUGGGAUAUAGGAUAGGGGAUAUAGGAUAUGGGAUAUGGGGUGUGGGAUAUGGGAUGUGGGAUAUGGGGGUGUGGGGUUGGGGUGGGGGAUAUGGGGUGUGGGGUGGGGGAUAUGGGGUGUGGGAUAUGGGAGGUGGGAUACAGGAUAUAGGAUAUGGGAUAUAGGAUAUGGGGGUGGGAUGUGGGAGGAGGGGUAUAGGAUAUGGGAUGUGGGAUAUGGGGGGUGGGGUUGGGGUGGGGGAUAUGGGGUGUGGGAUAUGGGGUGUGGGGUUGGGGUGGGGGAUAUGGGGUGUGGGGUGGGGGAUAUGGGAUAUAGGAUAUGGGAUAUGGGGGGGGGACGUGGGAUGUAGCAUGUAGGAUAUAGGAUAUGAGGGUGGGAGGUGGGAUAUGGGAUAUAGGAUAUGGGAUGUGGGAUAUGGGGGGUGGGGUUGGGGUGGGGGAUAUGGGGGUGGGAUAUGGGAUAUGGAGUGUGGGAUAUGGGGUCUAUAGAAUGUAAGAGCUAUAGGAUAUAGGAUCCAUAGGAUAUAGGUCCAUAAGAUAUAGGGGCUAUAGGAUAUAGGGUCCAUAGGAUAUAGGGCUAUAGGAUAUAGGGGCUAUGGGGGCUAUAGGGACCAUAGGGUCUCUAGAGGAUAUAGGGGCUAUAGGACAUGGGCUAUAGGAUAUAGGGUCCAUAGGAUAUAGGGGCUAUAGGAUAUAGGAGCUAUAGGGUCUAUAGGAAAUAGGGUCUGUAGAAAAUAAGGUCUAUAGGAUAUAGGGGCUAUAGAAUAUAGGAUCUAUAGGAUAUAGGGGCUAUAGGAUAUAGGGGUAUAGGAUAUAGGGGCCAUCGGAUAUAAGGGCUAUAGGGUCGAUAGGAAAUCGGGUCUAUAGGAUGUAUAGGGGCUAUAGGAUAUAGGCUGUAUAGGAUAUAGGGGCUAUAGGAUAUAGGGGCUACAGGAUAUAGGGGUAUAGGAUAUAGGGUCCAUAGGAUAUAGGGUCUAUAGGAUCCAUAGAAUAUAGGGUCUAUAGCAUAUAGGGUCCAUAGGAUAUAGGGGCUAUAGGGUCUAUAGGAAAUAGGGUCUGUAGGAAAUAAGGUCUAUAGGAUAAAGGGGCUAUAGGAUAUAGGGUCCAUAGGAUAUAGGGGCUAUAGGAUAUAGGGGCUAUAGGACACGGGCUAUAAGAUAUAGGGUCUAUAAGAUAUAGGCUGUAUAGGAUAUAGGGGCUAUAGGAUAUAGGAUCUAUAGGAUAUAGGGGUAUAGGAUAUAGGGUCCAUAGGAUAUAGGGGCUAUAGGAUAUAGGGGCUAUAGGACACGGGCUAUAAGAUAUAGGGUCUAUAAGAUAUAGGCUGUAUAGGAUAUAGGGGCUAUAGGAUAUAGGAUCUAUAGGAUAUAGGGCUAUAGGAUAUAGGGUCCAUAGGAUAUAGGGUCCAUAGGAUAUAGGGGCUAUAGGGUGUUUGGGGUCUAUAGGGCGCAUGGGGUCUCUGGGUGUGCCCACUCACCGCCGCUGUCCCCGUGGC